GACGAACGCUGGCGGCGUGCUUAACACAUGCAAGUCGAGCGGUAAGGCCCUUUCGGGGGUACGACGAGCGGCGAACGGGUGAGUAACACGUGGGUGACCUGCCCUCAGCUCUGGGAUAAGCCUGGGAAACCGGGUCUAAUACCGGAUAUGACUCCAUGACGCAUGUUGUGGGGUGGAAAGCCUUGUGCGGCUGAGGAUGGGCCCGCGGCCUAUCAGCUUGUUGUGGGGUGAUGGCCUACCAAGGCGACGACGGGUAGCCGGCCUGAGAGGGCGACCGGCCACACUGGGACUGAGACACGGCCCAGACUCCUACGGGAGGCAGCAGUGGGGAAUCUUGCGCAAUGGGCGAAAGCCUGACGCAGCGACGCCGCGUGA
rnacentral:rRNA from 1 species